rnacentral:lncRNA from 1 species
UGUAUACAACACCAUGGUACUUACCAUUGCCAGGGCGUAGUCAAAGGCUCCUGGACUUUACUAUAUACCUGCCAGGGCGUAGUCAAAGGCUCCUGGUCUUUGCUAUACUUGCCAGGGCGUAGUCAAAGGCUCCUGGUCUUCCUGUCUGUGACUAUGGGAUCAUUCAGCAUUUACCCACAUCAACAUAUAACAAUGCAAUGCAACAUAUUCGUGGAUACUAAUGCAAUCAACUUAUUGUAUAAUCAUGAUGCAUGAGAUAUGCUAAAACAUGUCUUUGAUCAAUUCAAAAGCAUUAAGUUUAGUUCCACUCACCUCUGGCUAUCUGGACUGACUGACUCUGCAGGCUCUGAAAACUCUGGAGCAGUACUCACUGCUGCUCUCUCUGGU